ACCCUAAUUCGAUCCGGCCUCUACACUUCAAAUCGUGUUACAAGACCAUAGGGGAAAUAAUCAGUGAUGAAAACCAAACCUUCGACAGAAAGAUGGGGACCGGAGGUGGCCGGAAUCGCCGGAAAUCGUCAACUGCAGCCGGAGGAGUCUUUCGUUCGAUCCGUGGUUUUCCGGCCAAAUCGUGGAAAACCAAGGAUGUAGGCGUGCUCGGAGGGAGGAGGCGAACCUGGGAUGACCGGUGGCACGUCCUGGGGUGGCCGGAAUCGCCGGCAAUCGAAGGAGGUGCGGUGGAGGCCGAACCG
rnacentral:lncRNA from 1 species